rnacentral:misc_RNA from 1 species
UUUAUAGAUUUGUCAAAGACUCAGAGAGGCCACUAGAGACAGAGUUGUAGGCCGCCGGCGGGCGUGGACGCCCGCCGAGGCAACGUUUUGGUAGGUUCACGAGGGUUGCAGGGAGAUCUUGCGAUUCCUGUAAUGAUCCCUCCGCUGGUUCACCAACGGAGA